rnacentral:pre_miRNA from 9 species
GUUGGUGUUGUCGUGUUGUGCGCGGUUUCCAAAUAUCAGCUGGUAAUUCUGGGCUCUUAAUUUGCUCAGAAUUCUAUCUGGUAUUGGGGAAUCCUUGCACCUCUCACUGUGUCUAUAA